rnacentral:rRNA from 1 species
GUCGGGUGUGAAAUCUCGGAGCUUAACUCCGAAACUGCAUUCGAUACUGCCGUGCUUGAGGACUGGAGAGGAGACUGGAAUUUACGGUGUAGCGGUGAAAUGCGUAGAUAUCGUAAGGAAGACCAGUGGCGAAGGCGGGUCUCUGGACAGUUCCUGACGCUGAGGCACGAAGGUCAGGGGAGCAAACGGG